rnacentral:rRNA from 1 species
GACGAACGCUGGCGGCGGGCUUAACACAUGCAAGUCGAACGGAAAGGCCCUGCUUUUGUGGGGUGCUCGAGUGGCGAACGGGUGAGUAACACGUGAGUAACCUGCCCUUGACUUUGGGAUAACUUCAGGAAACUGGGGCUAAUACCGGAUAGGAGCGCCUGCUGCAUGGUGGGGGUUGGAAAGUUUCGGCGGUUGGGGAUGGACUCGCGGCUUAUCAGCUUGUUGGUGGGGUAGUGGCUUACCAAGGCUUUGACGGGUAGCCGGCCUGAGAGGGUGACCGGCCACAUUGGGACUGAGAUACGGCCCAGACUCCUACGGGAGGCAGCAGUGGGGAAUAUUGCACAAUGGGCGGAAGCCUGAUGCAGCAACGCCGCGUGCGGGAUGACGGCCUUCGGGUUGUAAACCGCUUUCGCCUGUGACGAAGCGUGAGUGACGGUAAUGGGUAAAGAAGCACCGGCUAACUACGUG